rnacentral:rRNA from 1 species
UGGUUUAAUUCGAUGCAACGCGAAGAACCUUACCUGGUCUUGACAUCCACGGAAGUUUUCAGAGAUGAGAAUGUGCCUUCGGGAACCGUGAGACAGGUGCUGCAUGGCUGUCGUCAGCUCGUGUUGUGAAAUGUUGGGUUAAGUCCCGCAACGAGCGCAACCCUUAUCCUUUGUUGCCAGCGGUCCGGCCGGGAACUCAAAGGAGACUGCCAGUGAUAAACUGGAGGAAGGUGGGGAUGACGUCAAGUCAUCAUGGCCCUUACGACCAGGGCUACACACGUGCUACAAUGGCGCAUACAAAGAGAAGCGACCUCGCGAGAGCAAGCGGACCUCAUAAAGUGCGUCGUAGUCCGGAUUGGAGUCUGCAACUCGACUCCAUGAAGUCGGAAUCGCUAGUAAUCGUGGAUCAGAAUGCCACGGUGAAUACGUUCCCGGGCCUUGUACACACCGCCCGUCACACCAUGGGAGUGGGUUGCAAAAGAAGUAGGUAGCUUAACCUUCGGGAGGGCGCUUACCACUUUGUGAUUCAUGACUGGGGUGAAGUCGUAACAAGGUAACCGUAGGGGAACCUGCGGUUGGAUCACCUCCUUACCUUAAAGAAGC